UACGAGAGCCCCGAGCGUUAUCCGGAAUUAUUGGGCGUAAAGGGUGCGUAGGUGGUUUUGUUAGUCGUUUGUCAAAUCUCCGGGCUUAACCUGGAACUCGCGAACGAAACGGCAAAACUUGAGAGUGUGAGGGGUAUAGGGAACUCAUGGUGUAGGGGUGAAAUCCGUUGAUAUCAUGGGGAACACCAAAAGCGAAGGCACUAUACUGGCACACAUCUGACACUCAAGCACGAAAGCGUGGGUAGCGAAUGGG
rnacentral:rRNA from 1 species